UUAAGCGACUAAGCGUACACGGUGGAUGCCCUGGCAGUCAGAGGCGAUGAAGGACGUGCUAAUCUGCGAAAAGCGUCGGUAAGGUGAUAUGAACCGUUAUAGCCGGCGAUGUCCGAAUGGGGAAACCCAGUGCAAUUCGUUGCACUAUCGUUAACUGAAUACAUAGGUUAACGAGGCGAACCGGGGGAACUGAAACAUCUAAGUACCCCGAGGAAAAGAAAUCAACCGAGAUUCCCCCAGUAGCGGCGAGCGAACGGGGAGCAGCCCAGAGUCUGAAUCAGCUUGUGUGUUAGUGGAACGGUCUGGAAAGUCCGACGGUACAGGGUGAUAGUCCCGUACACCAAAAUGCACAGGUUGUGAACUCGAAGAGUAGGGCGGGACACGUGGUAUCCUGUCUGAAUAUGGGGGGACCAUCCUCCAAGGCUAAAUACUCCUGACUGACCGAUAGUGAACCAGUACCGUGAGGGAAAGGCGAAAAGAACCCCGGCGAGGGGAGUGAAAAAGAACCUGAAACCGUGUACGUACAAGCAGUGGGAGCACCUUCGGGUGUGACUGCGUACCUUUUGUAUAAUGGGUCAGCGACUUAUAUUCUGUAGCAAGGUUAACCGUAUAGGGGAGCCGCAGGGAAACCGAGUCUUAACUGGGCGUUAAGUUGCAGGGUAUAGACCCGAAACCCGGUGAUCUAGCCAUGGGCAGGUUGAAGGUUGGGUAACACUAACUGGAGGACCGAACCGACUAAUGUUGAAAAAUUAGCGGAUGACUUGUGGCUGGGGGUGAAAGGCCAAUCAAACCGGGAGAUAGCUGGUUCUCCCCGAAAGCUAUUUAGGUAGCGCCUCGUGAACUCAUCUUCGGGGGUAGAGCACUGUUUCGGCUAGGGGGUCAUCCCGACUUACCAACCCGAUGCAAACUACGAAUACCGAAGAAUGUUAUCACGGGAGACACACGGCGGGUGCUAACGUCCGUCGUGAAGAGGGAAACAACCCAGACCGCCAGCUAAGGUCCCAAAGUCAUGGUUAAGUGGGAAACGAUGUGGGAAGGCACAGACAGCCAGGAUGUUGGCUUAGAAGCAGCCAUCAUUUAAAGAAAGCGUAAUAGCUCACUGGUCGAGUCGGCCUGCGCGGAAGAUGUAACGGGGCUAAACCAUGCACCGAAGCUGCGGCAGCGACACUAUGUGUUGUUGGGUAGGGGAGCGUUCUGUAAGCCUGCGAAGGUGUGCUGUGAGGCAUGCUGGAGGUAUCAGAAGUGCGAAUGCUGACAUAAGUAACGAUAAAGCGGGUGAAAAGCCCGCUCGCCGGAAGACCAAGGGUUCCUGUCCAACGUUAAUCGGGGCAGGGUGAGUCGACCCCUAAGGCGAGGCCGAAAGGCGUAGUCGAUGGGAAACAGGUUAAUAUUCCUGUACUUGGUGUUACUGCGAAGGGGGGACGGAGAAGGCUAUGUUAGCCGGGCGACGGUUGUCCCGGUUUAAGCAUGUAGGCUGGUUGUCCAGGCAAAUCCGGAUAAUCAAGGCUGAGGUGUGAUGACGAGGCACUACGGUGCUGAAGUAACAAAUGCCCUGCUUCCAGGAAAAGCCUCUAAGCAUCAGGUAACAUCAAAUCGUACCCCAAACCGACACAGGUGGUCAGGUAGAGAAUACCAAGGCGCUUGAGAGAACUCGGGUGAAGGAACUAGGCAAAAUGGUGCCGUAACUUCGGGAGAAGGCACGCUGGUGUGUAGGUGAAGUCCCUGCGGAUGGAGCUGAGACCAGUCGAAGAUACCAGCUGGCUGCAACUGUUUAUUAAAAACACAGCACUGUGCAAACACGAAAGUGGACGUAUACGGUGUGACGCCUGCCCGGUGCCGGAAGGUUAAUUGAUGGGGUUAUCCGUAAGGAGAAGCUCUUGAUCGAAGCCCCGGUAAACGGCGGCCGUAACUAUAACGGUCCUAAGGUAGCGAAAUUCCUUGUCGGGUAAGUUCCGACCUGCACGAAUGGCGUAAUGAUGGCCAGGCUGUCUCCACCCGAGACUCAGUGAAAUUGAACUCGCUGUGAAGAUGCAGUGUACCCGCGGCAAGACGGAAAGACCCCGUGAACCUUUACUAUAGCUUGACACUGAACAUUGAGCCUUGAUGUGUAGGAUAGGUGGGAGGCUUUGAAGCGUGGACGCCAGUCUGCGUGGAGCCAACCUUGAAAUACCACCCUUUAAUGUUUGAUGUUCUAACGUUGGCCCCUGACCGGGGUUGCGGACAGUGUCUGGUGGGUAGUUUGACUGGGGCGGUCUCCUCCCAAAGCGUAACGGAGGAGCACGAAGGUUAGCUAAUCCUGGUCGGACAUCAGGAGGUUAGUGCAAUGGCAUAAGCUAGCUUGACUGCGAGCGUGACGGCGCGAGCAGGUGCGAAAGCAGGUCAUAGUGAUCCGGUGGUUCUGAAUGGAAGGGCCAUCGCUCAACGGAUAAAAGGUACUCCGGGGAUAACAGGCUGAUACCGCCCAAGAGUUCAUAUCGACGGCGGUGUUUGGCACCUCGAUGUCGGCUCAUCACAUCCUGGGGCUGAAGUAGGUCCCAAGGGUAUGGCUGUUCGCCAUUUAAAGUGGUACGCGAGCUGGGUUUAGAACGUCGUGAGACAGUUCGGUCCCUAUCUGCCGUGGGCGCUGGAGAAUUGAGGGGGGCUGCUCCUAGUACGAGAGGACCGGAGUGGACGCAUCACUGGUGUUCGGGUUGUCAUGCCAAUGGCACUGCCCGGUAGCUAAAUGCGGAAGAGAUAAGUGCUGAAAGCAUCUAAGCACGAAACUUGCCCCGAGAUGAGUUCUCCCUGAGACUUUAAGUCUCCUGAAGGAACGUUGAAGACGACGACGUUGAUAGGCCGGGUGUGUAAGCGCAGCGAUGCGUUGAGCUAACCGGUACUAAUGAACCGUGAGGCUUAACCUU
rnacentral:rRNA from 1 species